AGAUGGUACAUCCCAGUAUCUCCUCCUCUCCCUCUCUUUCUCCUCCCUCCUGCUUACAGUGUCCUCCAUCUCUCCGCUUUCUCUCAUUUUCUUAUACUAAGGACAUUCUCACUUCAAGAGACUGCUGCAGUUCCUUCCUUCUGUUAUUUUUCUAAUCUCUACAGAGCUCUUGGAGAGUGAAGCAGCACAGAGCUAACCUUAUAAAGACUCCUCCUGACCAGACCACACCUCUGUCCCUGAUUCCAUGGAUGCCAAGGCCAAGUCCGGGGCUACAGCACCCAAGGCAGCACCUAAAGCAGAGAAGAAGGAGCCAGCAGUCCCACGCAAGGCUGAGCCUGCCCCUGCAGCACCUGCAGCACCUGCAGCCCCUGCAGCCCCUGAGCCUGAGCUUCCUCCUGCCCAGGAUGGGGCAGCAGAAGCAGAAGCAGAAGCGGCUGGUGACGAGGCUGCGGCCUCUGGCACAGACUCUCUGGAACACCUGAAGCCUUUUCUUAUUGGUGGAGCAGUUAUUGCUGCAGGAGCCAUCUUGCUGGGAGUGUUGCUACUAGCACGGAGAAAUUAAACCAAAUCGUUAUCUCAAAUUUAAAGUAUGAAUUGGAUGAUAAGUUAGAGCAUUGUUACAGAGUGGUUCACAGACUAUUAUGGUACAGAUGGGGGAAUAGGAGCCACAGUGCGUCUUAUCUUUGUUUGUGUUUUGGCCUGCUUUCACUUGUAGUGAAUCAAACCAUUCACUUUUUGACAUGGAGCAUAAUUACACAUAAUAUAUGCAUGAUGUUGCUUCAUUACUGCAUCUGUACUGUAAUCAAUUCCUUUAAAAACAUACUCUAGUACUGAGCUAAAAGGCCUCAACUCUCUGAAAGUAGUUUAUUCAACUGCUUUAUCUUGUCUCAUUCAGUUUCCAUAAAUAUUGAUAUACUUGCAAUAUUUGUGAAUUCUAACUCUGAAAAUCUGCUGGUUCACUUUGCUAAAAGAUCAUGAAAAACUCUGUCUACAAUAUUGAAACAUACCACAUAUACUUUUUUGUUUUAGGACAAUCGAUAGAGAAGACCUGAAAUUAGAUGAAACUAUGCAUUUUGAUGUAUUGCACAUAUUUUGGCUAAAUAAAUGCCUUAAUGAUGGGGUUCAGUUAAGAGACACUGCAUACCCAAAACAUGUCAAAUAAAAAAAGGGUACAGUUCAAUUAAAAAGAAAAUAUAAGCAUGGAGUGGUUUAAGAAAUGGGAUGUAGAGGAUUGUAGGAGAUAAAACAUGUACAGUAUGUGUCAGAGUAUAAUAGUGACGUUACCUCUUGCUGUAGAAUAAGAAAGAAUUAUUUUUCUGUCAAAUGAUGUCACCAAUCAACUAACCUUUAUGUCUUACACACCAUCCACAGUUGUGUUGGCUCAUUCUGUUUUACAUCUUACAGUAGAUACUUUGCUGUAUCAGGGUGGAAAGCCAUUAGUCUUGCAUUAUCAGGUUUAAAGCCUGCUACAUCGUUUAUGUCUUCAUUGUGUUCAACUAAUGUAGUUUCAGGAAAAUUCAUAACUAUGUGCAACUAUUAUUUCAUUAGAGGAACAUACAGCGCAUGUUUCUAAUACAUUGGAAGUAGGGUGUAGUGCACUUUAGGUGUGGAAAGUGAAGCAUUCAACAUCCUGGAGCAGCAACACUCACCUGUACAGCUGUACACAAUAGUGGCCACUUACAUCUACUGUCAUAGCCAUAGGGAUGGCUUCCGCUGCAUAAUUAGAUAACAGAAAGACAGUUCUGAUUCGCACCAUUAUUUGAUAUUCGUUGUAACAGUACUUAUGAAUUUCACAACACAUUACUGGCCAAAAGAUAUUGUACAAACAUACCUCAGUCAACAUCAAAACACAACCAAUAGAUGGUAGGCCAACACCAAAACAAACUUCACCCUACAUUGUGCAAUACAGUGUACUUAAAAAAAGAAUCCUAUUUUCAUUAUUUCAACAGCGUAUAAAUGCAAUAAUUCAGAUAGGUCUCCUUAUUUAGCACUUGUGCUGUAGCAAGUUAAAUUACAUAAAUAAUGAUGUAAUAAUAUUGUUGGUAGUGAUGAUUAUGUAUAUUAAAGAUGGCAAUGACAGUGAUGUAGAUGCAAAUGGCAAUGAUGAUGUUUUCAUGGUGACUGUAAUCAUAAUUACAGUUAUGUAUAUUUUUUUAUAUAUUUCUAACAUUUUCUCCUUAUGGACACUCCCCUCUGCCCUCAAAUGUCUAAAUGUAAAAAGGAAAUAAACAUAAUCCAACCUUUAUUAAAGACAGUGAACCAGC